UACGGAGGGUGCGAGCGUUGUCCGGAAUCACUGGGCGUAAAGGGCGCGUAGGCGGCCUGAUAAGUAGGGGGUGAAAUCCUGCGGCUCAACCGCAGGGCUGCCUUCUAAACUGUCAGGCUGGAGCACGGUAGAGGCAGAUGGAAUUCCCGGUGUAGCGGUGGAAUGCGUAGAGAUCGGGAAGAACACCAGUGGCGAAGGCGGUCUGCUGGGCCGUUGCUGACGCUGAGGCGCGACAGCGUGGGGAGCAAACAGG
rnacentral:rRNA from 1 species